rnacentral:rRNA from 1 species
GACGAACCGAGCGAACGUUAUUCGGAAUCACUGGGCGUAAAGGGCGCGUAGGCGGCCUGGUAAGUAGGGGGUGAAAUCCUGCGGCUUAACCGCAGGGCUGCCUUCUAAACUGUCAGGCUUGAGCACGGUAGAGGCAGAUGGAAUUCCCGGUGUAGCGGUGGAAUGCGUAGAGAUCGGGAAGAACAUCAGUGGCGAAGGCGGUCUGCUGGGCCGUUGCUGACGCUGAGGCGCGACAGCGUGGGGAGCAAACAGG